UUCCCUAGGGUUUCGUCGCCCCUGAGCGCCGCCGCUCAGUCUUGUGCCGAGGCUCCGGCGGUGACGAAGAUGGCACCGGUCCCACUGUUUUGGCGACAAAGGUAAAUCCCCCUCUUUCUUUUAUGUUUUUUUAAGCAAAAACUAAAAAAAAUAAAAUGAAAAUAAAAAAACAAGGAACGAAACUAAGAAACAGAACCCCGAAUGAAAAAAAAUCACCUUUUUUGUAUUCACAAUCAAUUUUUGUCCCCCAUUUUUACAGAUUUGAUAACGACCCUUUUUAUAGCCGAAAAUGGAAAAGAAAAAUAAAUAAAAUCGAAUAAAAUCCAAACAAAAUCUAUACUAUUGCUCGUUUUUUGCUAUUCUGUUUUGUUUCUGUUCAUUAUUGCAGGUGUGGCGUGGAGCGAACGGCGCGGGGAAGGCGCGCAAGAGGCGGCGACGAACGUGGCUGCUGUUGAGGGCGGCGGCUGGUGAUUUUUCUGCUUAGGGUUUCUAAUUUUUUGUUUGUUUUGGGCUAGGUUUGGUUUGGGCUUAGGUUUAGUUUAUUGGGUUUGUUUAUUUGCUUGGGCCCGGGCAUUAUUGGGCUUGUACACCGAUGAUGGAGCUCUACCCUUAAAGCAUCCAAUCUUCGCAUUGGGCUUGGUUUUUGGUAGCAGUUUUGCUUGGCCUUGAUUUCUUGAUAUCCAAAUAUUUUCGUGUAGGCUUCUCUGUUUUUGUUUUACUAUCUUCAUUAGAUAAGAUUUUAGCGAAGUCUUCAAUCUUUUAUGUACACUGCAAUUUGGAAAUAUUGGACUCGGGCUUAAAUAAUUGUUCUUUGUAAUUUGGUUACUACAUGAAUUGAUUAUCCGAGUAAAGUUUCAUAGGCGUAAGUUAAGUCCGAAUUACG
rnacentral:lncRNA from 1 species